rnacentral:lncRNA from 1 species
AGAGGUCCCACGAUCCGCUCCUACGGAACACGAGAGGAGCCAAACUACUGCCGUUUUCUUCGCUGCUGAAUUACUUUGUUUUAAGCAGUUUUUCCACGUCUUAUCGUGAAGUUUCCUGUUGCCAAUACUGGCCGAUUAGGCUGAGUGUGUCCACAUUUUGGUCCUUUGGUUUUUAGCCUCUCUGAGUGGCUGUGAUUUGUGUAUGAUCACAAACCCCACUGCUUUGCAACGUGUUUAAGCAGACCUUGCGGCCAGGUCAGAUCCCGGUCUGAAUGCAACCGGUUCUGAAUGAACAUUUAGGUAAUGACCCUAGUUUUUUUCCCGAGUCGCAGCUUCGCAGACACUGGAUCCCUGAGGUACAUGUUAAACUCUCACUGUGGAUCUGUCACUAAAUUCCACCGAGGAUUCGGCUACCAGGAGUGGAACUCCAGAAUCUUAAAGCCAGUUCCCGCCUACGCCGACAAAUGCAUUUUAAUUUCGAAGGAAUCACUCGCUCUUCUACUUCCAAAGCAAAUACACAAGACAUCUCUCUCAGAAGAUAUCCCCGAAGCCAACCAGAGCUUCUGAUGGCCAACCUGGUGGAUACAGUGAUCAUUGUCGGGCUCAUGAAUUUCAUGAGGAUAUAAGAAAGUUGAUGGAAGUUUUAGCUUUUCCAAUAAACGUUUGGGUUUCACCCCUAAAGCCUCA